GAUGAACGCUGGCGGCGUGCCUAAUACAUGCAAGUCGAGCGAACGGACGAGAAGCUUGCCUCUCUGAUGUUAGCGGCGGACGGGUGAGUAACACGUGGAUAACCUACCUAUAAGACUGGGAUAACUUCGGGAAACCGGAGCUAAUACCGGAUAAUAUUUUGAACCUCAUGGUUCAAAAGUGAAAGACGGUCUUGCUGUCACUUAUAGAUGGAUCCGCGCUGCAUUAGCUAGUUGGUAAGGUAACGGCUUACCAAGGCAACGAUGCAUAGCCGACCUGAGAGGGUGAUCGGCCACACUGGAACUGAGACACGGUCCAGACUCCUACGGGAGGCAGCAGUAGGGAAUCUUCCGCAAUGGGCGAAAGCCUGACGGAGCAACGCCGCGUGAGUGAUGAAGGUCUUCGGAUCGUAAAACUCUGUUAUUAGGGAAGAACAUAUGUGUAAGUAACUGUGCACAUCUUGACGGUACCUAAUCAGAAAGCCACGGCUAACUACGUG
rnacentral:rRNA from 1 species